rnacentral:rRNA from 1 species
UACGUAGGGGGCAAGCGUUGUCCGGAUUUAUUGGGCGUAAAGAGCGUGUAGGCGGCCUGGUAGGUCAGCUGUGAAAACUCGAGGCUCAACCUCGAGACGUCGGUUGAAACCACUUGGCUAGAGUCCGGAAGAGGAGAGCGGAAUUCCCGGUGUAGCGGUGAAAUGCGCAGAUAUCGGGAAGAACACCCGUGGCGAAGGCGGCUCUCUGGGACGGUACUGACGCUGAGACGCGAAAGCGUGGGGAGCAACAGG